rnacentral:rRNA from 1 species
UACGUAGGUGGCAAGCGUUGUCCGGAUUUAUUGGGUUUAAAGGGCUCGUAGGUGGCCAACUCAGUCGGACGUGAAAUCCCUCGGCUUAACCGGGGAACUGCGUCCGAUACUGGAUGGCUUGAGAUCGGGAGAGGGAUGCGGAAUUCCAGGUGUAGCGGUGAAAUGCGUAGAUAUCUGGAGGAACACCGGUGGCGAAGGCGGCAUCCUGGACCGACACUGACACUGAGGAGCGAAAGCCAGGGGAGCAAACGGG